rnacentral:rRNA from 1 species
AGCGAACGCUUUCUUCCUUCCUAACACAUGCAAGUCGAACGAACCUGUCGGGGUUAGUGGCGGUCGGGUGAGUAACACGUGGUAACUUGCCUUUAGGUUCGGAAUAACUCAGUGAAACUUGUGCUAAUACCGAAUGUGCUCUUCGGGGGAAAGAUUUAUCGCCUUUAGAUCGGCGCGCGUCUGUUUAGCUAGUUGGUUGAGGUAAUGGCUAGCCAAGGCUAGGAGCAGUAGCUGGUCUGAGAGCAUGAUACGUCACAUUGGCGCUGAGACACGGCCCACACUGCUACGGGAGGCAGCAGUGGGGAAUAUUGCGCACUGGGCGCAAGUGUGACGAAGCCAUGUCGGGUGAAUGAUGCAGGUCUUAGGAUUGUACAAUUCUUUGUCAGGAGACGAUAAUGACGGUAAUCGGUGAAGAAGCACCGGCUAACUUCGUG